rnacentral:rRNA from 1 species
GACGUAGGGCGCGAGCGUUGUCCGGAUUUACUGGGCGUAAAGGGCGCGUAGGCGGCAAUUCAAGUCAUCUGUGAAAUCUCCGGGCUUAACUCGGAACGGUCAGAUGAUACUGCUUUGCUAGAGUGCGGAAGGGGCAAUCGGAAUUCUUGGUGUAGCGGUGAAAUGCGUAGAUAUCAAGAGGAACACCUGAGGUGAAGACGGGUUGCUGGGCCGACACUGACGCUGAGUGCGCGAAAGCCAGGGGAGCAAACGGG